AAUCCAGAGUAUCGGAGAGGAAAGUGGAAUUCNUAGUGUAGCGGUGAAAUGCGUAGAUAUUAGGAAGAACACCAGUGGCGAAGGCGACUUUCUGGACGAAAACUGACGCUGAGGCGCGAAAGCCAGGGGAGCGAACGGGAUUAGAUACCCCGGUAGUCCUGNCCGUAAACGAUGGGUACUAGGUGUAGGAGGUAUCGACCCCUUCUGUGCCGGAGUUAACGCAAUAAGUACCCCGCCUGGGGAGUACGACCGCAAGGUUGAAACUCAAAGGAAUUGACGGGGGCCCGCACAAGCGGUGGAGUAUGUGGUUUAAUUCGACGCAACGCGAAGAACCUUACCAGGUCUCGACAUUGAUGGACAGAACCAGAGAUAGUUCCUCUUCUUCGGAAGCCAGAAAACAGGUGGUGCACGGUUGUCGUCAGCUCGUGUCGUGAGAUGUUGGGUUAAGUCCCGCAACGAGCGCAACCCCUAUCUUAUGUUGCCAGCACGUAAAGGUGGGAACUCAUGAGAGACUGCCGCAGACAAUGCGGAGGAAGGCGGGGAUGACGUCAAAUCAUCAUGCCCCUUAUGACCUGGGCUACACACGUACUACAAUGGGAGUUAAUAGACGGAAGCGAGAUCGCGAGAUGGAGCAAACCCGAGAAACACUCUCUCAGUUCGGAUCGUAGGCUGCAACUCGCCUACGUGAAGUCGGAAUCGCUAGUAAUCGCAGGUCGGCAUACUGCGGUGAAUACGUUCCCGGGCCUUGUACACACCGCCC
rnacentral:rRNA from 1 species